GCUGUCCUUGUCUUUGGGGAGCAUAGUAUUCAAUGAGCGUUUAGUGAGGGUACUGAUGCUGAAACCAUGACAAUUAUAAAACCCGCAUCCAUGAUGAUCAUGUGAUGCAAUUUUUGAAAAG